GACUGCAAAUAGCCAUAAAUACAUAUGAGAGGAAAAAAAGAGUAUAGUUUUAGCCCAUCGCAUUGCCUUGUUCCCCCUCAUUAUGUGACUGCACAGACAUCUGGAAGAUGGGAGAGAGAAAUGCCAGAGGCAGUAAGUAGGCACAGGUGAAGACUGAAAGGCACUAUUUAAACAUGUUGAUGAACUGGGCUGGAUUUCUCCCCACCUCCAUUCCAGCAAAACAAGGAGACUCAGAAGAUAAAAUUUGUUUUGUUAUUGCAAGUAGUGCUCCAUGGUUUUAGACAUUAUAGCAAACAUCUUUGCCAUCUCAAGGAUAUACACAGAAUGUUUCUGCUUGAUAUUGUCUGUGAGAAGACCAGGGAAGUUUUUACUGAUUCAGCAUGAAGCUGCUGACCUCUCCACUGGAUGAUGGAGGUGCAGCAUUAAAUAAGAGAUGUGAACUCACCAUAGCAACUCCUGCAUCACAUUGCAGAUAUGCUGCUUCUAAGAUACAGCAAAUGUUUCUGAAGAAAUGUAUCUGAAUAUGAGGCCUCCUUCUGAUGUCCCUGCACAAAUACUACUGUUCACCACAAGAGAUCCAACAGAAUUAUAUGAAUUCAUCCAAGGUGAGAAAUAGGUUUUCUGCUGAACUGUUUUGCAGCUCAAUUUUAAAUUUACAACUGUUUUCCCUUUGUUAUCUAUUCAGUUUGAAUUUUAUUCUCUAAUAAGUGUUUGUUUUGUUUGACCUUACUUAGAUUGGAUUUCCAUCCUAUACAUGAGCAAAAUGUCUUUUUCGUUUGUUUGCUUGUUCAUUUAAACGUUUAAUCCUUUUAGUGAGUCUUUAACUGGUAUAAGCUUUUCCUGUGUUGAGUUUAAUUUUGGCACUUUUACUUUGGAGGCAUUUUCUUUAAUGCAUCCAGUAUUACUUAUAUCUUAAUAAAAAGGUUUUAGAUUGCUACUGAUGUAUUACCAACUUCAUCUUGACCGAAAUUCUUGCUAGCAUGCCUGUUUAUAUGCAUCAAAAAAGCAAGAUUUUCAUAAUGUCUCGUGGGUUAGCAUGCCUGCUGCAAAGCAACUUUUGCAGUCAGUCCUUCCAUGUACUUUACCCAACAAUCCAUAGCAGACUGCUUCUGGAAGGAGAAGUAAGUGAUUACAUCUGCUUUGAUCUUUUUUUGAUAUUAACCAACCGUAAUUUCUCUUCCCAGAUCUCACUUGUACAGGGGAUCACACAUUUUCUCACAUCAUCUAAGACUGAUUAAGAAGAUUAACAAUACUCUUAUUUUUUUUUCUUCUCUUUUUCUUUUCUCCUGCAUUUAUUUCUGUGGGAUCUUCUGUCAAUGCUGGCCAGUUUUCCUGGGAGACACAUGAAACAUCUUUAAUCAGUUUGUUGUGUGCUCAAGGGCUAAAGGCUUCUUUCCCUAGCCCAUGGGGACUAAGUGGAGGAAGAGGAGACAGAGGAAAUUGCUAGUUCUACUAAGUUACUACUCGUAUAAAGGCUUAUCUGGUUAUCUUUUCUUGCUUUUUCUCCUAAGUCUACUUUAGCCUACUUGCACUAAAAGAACUAACUAAUUUGUCAGUGAACAGGAUAUCUGAAGACAUCUACUCUUUUUUUUCUGAAGAAAGGAAAAGUGUGUUGUUCAAAACAGUGGCUCACAGUGGAUACAAAAAUGCUUUGCAUUUGUGAUUGUUGAUGGCCAACACAGUAAGAUGAACCAUAAUGUACUUAGAUGCCAAUUGUCAAUAGAAGCACAGAGCAAUAUACCUACAGAUUUCUUUUACAGAAUAUCACAAAACUAAUAAACACUAAGAGUGUUGCAUGAAUUGUCUGUGGGCUUAACCUCUGAACUUUUAUCCAAUGUAAUCAU